GUAAGUUUAUGUCCUCAGCCCGGAAAAGAUGCCCCUCCCGGCCCAGCUCAAGUGUCUUCUCUUCUGGGCUGUCCUCUCUGACCGGCCUGAGGAGGUCACACACUCCAUCCUCGGGCCUGCCCCAACAUGUUGGGAUUUUGGCAUUUGUCACACGUUUUGUGGUGUAAAUUAUUUGGUUAUAUGACUGUCCCUCUUCUUCUCUGGGAGCUCCUUGGUGGCAGGAAGUGUCGCUUUCUGUCAUCAGCACAGGGCCUGGCACAAGGCACAAUGUGGCCCUGCUGUGAGAGGCAGCUGCUUAGAGUCACCCACUCCCGGGUCUGUUUCAGUCUCUGCCUCUUCCUAGCUGAGUGACCUUUGGCUGCUUAGCCACCCGGAGCCUCAACUUUUCAAUCUAUAAAAUGGGAAUGAUACUAAUGUCAUAAGAGAGUUGAAGACCACUGACUAUUUCCUGUAUCUGGUUAGUGGAACUGCCUCUGAUUUUGGGUCAUUUGCUGGCCAGAGAUGAUUGACAUCGGCUUUACCUGAUGAAUGACUAAGACCAAGCUCAGGUACACACCUAAGAGAGGACUGUCUGGGUCGGAUGUCUCUAAGCGUCAGGAAUCCGAGUGGAGCUUAGCCGGUGUGGCUGGCAGCAUUGGCCCAUCCGAGCUUGAGGCCGCUUUGGAGUAGUGCUGGAUACGGGAAAACUGGAGAGAAGAAGGAAGAAAAGAGAAGAGGGCUGGAAAAGGGGACAGAAGGAAAAAUGAGUUAAGGGACUGGAAAGAAUCAGUGUUCGGAAGAAGGCAGUUGUUGCUAAACCACUUUUCAGGCUGUACUUCUGCUGGACGGAGGAGCUUCAAUCGUCUUGAUCAACGUGCCUGUAUCAGGCUUUGAACAGGAGCUAUAGAUAUGUUAGUUCAUUUACUCAAUCCUGCAACAGUCCCACCUUCCAGAUUUAGAAACUGAGAUCUGAAAAGUUAAGUAAGACUUGGCCAAGGCCAUAUACCCGAGAUGGAUUUCCUCCCCCAGAACCUGUGACCUUUCACGGUGGUACCCGAGUAUAUUCCUGUGUUACUCUGCUUCCGACUCUGCCUCACAGCAUCCUUUGCCUCCUGGGUCCGUGAGACCUCUUCUAGGAAGUUCCAGUGGACAGUAAGAAAGACAGAUCCUCUGGUCUCCCUGGUCUCUAGUUAUGGCAGCCUGCGUUCUCUUUGAAGACUGAGCUGUGUUACGGAACUCCCUCCUCCCCCGACUCUAACAGGCUUAGUGCCUCAAUCAGUGAAAGGACAGUAGGUCUCUGCUUCUGGCCGCCUCCGUGAAUGAUUUCUGCCCUGUAGUGGAAGAGUCACUGGUGGCUCUGCCCGAGAUGUCCUCUACCUGGUCAGCAUCCUCUGAUGUAACACCCCUAGACACAGUGAAUCUUGGAUAUGAAGCUGCUUCGAGUUUGAGCUUCACGUAGUGAAUGGUUUGGGCAGGUCCACUGUCCCUCCAGCCUCAGUUCCUUCAGCUGUUGAACUGAGGGGGAAGAGGUGGCUGAAUUAGUGGUUCUUUCUCCACGGAAGUGAAGACUGCGAAGUAUGCUCCGGUCCGUAGGAGCUCUAGGCAUUGUCUAUGGAUUAAAUAGUUUGUCCGUCUUGCGUAUAUACACGUGACUACAUUUCAAAUGUGUGUAAAGCUGUGUGAGAAAUAAA
ensembl:lncRNA